GAUUUACUUAUAUGUAAGUACACUGUGAGCCACCAUGUGGUUGCUGGGAUUUGAACUCAGAACCUUUGGAGGAGCAGUCAGUGCUCUUACCCGCUGAGCCAUCUCGCCAGCCCAAGAGUGUAUCUCUUACUAGGGCUUCAAGCUUUUUUUUCUCCACAGGCUUUGUACCCACAUGGUGCACAAAGAGAGAAGGAGGUGAACGCUAAAUUUAGAAGAAACACGUGGGGAGUUAAGGUUAUUCUAACAAAAGGAAGUGGUCGGGUACUGUGUGUGUGGCAAACAUCUGCAACCUGGGACUACUGUCGGGUGCCGACCAAAGGGAGAAAUGAAAAGUUUCUGUUUAAUGGAUACAGAGUUUCAGUUUUACAAGGUGAAGAAGUUCUGAAGACAGAUGGUACGGAUGGUCACACAAAGAUAUGGAUAUAUUUACUGCCAUUGAAGCGUCCCUAAGGUGGUUAAUCUGAAAAAUUAUAUUUAUUAUUUAAAGUACUAAAAUGUCAAGCUAACUUCAAUAAUUGUUUUAUUUUGUACAACAAAAGAUGUUUAGCAUUAUUUAGAACUUUGUUCCAUCUCUUAGGAAUUUGGCACGUGGUUGUCAAGGUACACGUGUAAGGCCAGAUAACAAACUGUAUGGUGGGUUCUUACCCAAGAAUGUGAGUCCAAGAGCUGGAACUCACGUGAUCAAGCUUGGUGACAUGUGCCUUUACCCACUGAGCCUUCUCAUCAACCCAAGUUUCCCAGUAAUUAAAUAAUCUGUUUCCCUAAUUCUUAUUUAAGCAAACAAAGCAGUUAAGGUACAGCAGGAGGCAGGUGAUGAUGGCCUUGCAUGAGGUUAAUUUAAUAAUGUAACCAUUUUAGAGAAUAUAACUAUUAGAGCGAGAGCGAGAGAGCGAGAGAAAGAGAGAGAGAGAGAGAGAGAGAGAGAGAGAGGAGGGGGGAGAGGGAGAGGAAACAGCUGCCUCUCACACACAGUGUUCUGGGCUAUCCCUUCCCCUCACUACCAAUAAGUGCCCUGGUGUCUGCCCACACUGCCACUGCCACUGCCACUGCACCUGCCAGCCUCUUCCACUGAACACAGACUGAUUCCUCUACAACUUAAGUUAGUCUCUCCCAGUGUCUCCCUUCCUCUAGCCCUCUCCCUCUGUCUCCUCUCCUUAUAAAAGAAAGAAAGAAAGAAAGAAAGAAAGAAGGAAAGAAAAAGAAAGAAAGAAAACAAACUUACUGGGUGCUUGCUUUCCGUUUCAGAGGGUUAGUCCAUUACCAUCCCAAGAGGAAGCAUGCCAAACAGACAGGCAUGGCGCUAGAAAAGUAGCUGAGAGCUUUAAAUCAUGAUCCACAGGCAGAGGAAAGACAGACAGACAGACAGACAGAGGCAGACUGGGUCUGGCAAGGACUUUCAAAAUCUUAAAAGCCACCCUAGGGACACACCUCCUCCAACAAGGCCACACCCCUAGUCCUUCACAACACUCCACCAACUGGGAACCAAGCAUCCAAAUUGAGGAACUAAACCUUAAGUGAGUAAGUUACAUGUCACAAAGUAGCCAUCACUUUUCUCAGUACUGAAACAAAAUACCUCAAAAAAGAAAAGAAAGAAAAAGAAAAGAAAAAACAAAACACUUAAAGAAGUAUCUUUUUUUGGCUCACCCUUUGAAAGAUACACUCACUUUACCAUGGCUGGGAAGGCAAGGUUGCUGGUCACACUGCACCCACAAUCGAGAAGCAGAGAGUGGGGAGUGCUCCUAGUAGCCGGUCCCUUUUUAUUCAGCCCGCACCCCAAGCCCACAGGAGCUGGCUAACCCAACAAACCUGACUGGCCUGGAAGCCCCACCCACCAACCCCCAUCACCACGCCUCUGCCUCCCUAGUGAGAGGAUUGCGAGCUGCCACCAGGCUGAUUUUCACUCGGGUGCAAGGGAUUUGAAAUCAGAGCCUCGUGCUUGUACAGAUAGCGCUUUUGCUGACUGAGCGAUCUCUCCGGCCUCAAAUUUGCUAAUCUCUGUGAUAUAAAAAAUGCAAAGUGAGCUGGGCAGCGGGGCACAUCUUUGAUCUUGGCACGGGGCUGGGGGAGGGGCGGAGGGGUCGGUUUUUUUGGAGCUCGAAAGAGGCUUAGUCUACAGAGUGAGUUCCAGGAUAGUCAAGGUUAUACAAUAGACAAAAAAAUCAAAACCAACCCCUGCAAAGUGACAUCACUGAGCAUGAUUUAAGGUGAGAUAAUAUAGACAAAGUCUCCCGCUAGCAUAGAGAAGAGCAAAGUGUGGCAGGAUAACCAAGCAACAGGUUUUGAGUAUUUACUGUUGUGGCAGACAUAACCAUUUAAGACAGGAGAAAAAAUGUUUGUCAAUCCUUGUGAAGAUGAAUUCAAAGAAAGAAUGCAAAGUAAUCAAGCUACAAUUGUGAAAGAUGGUUGCUCCUCGUUAGAAUUCUGGCCAGAUUCAUGCUUCACUCUUGGCAGGUGAGUAAGACGAAGCCUGCCUGCCCUGUCUUCGUGACUGGCUGGGCCAGGGUCACCUAGCCUUCCUGCCAAUAUGCAACCUCCUGUCAGAUGCUGCCCUCUAGUGACCUUUUGGGGAACUGAUCGUAGAAUCUCCAUCUUCUCGGUCUUUCUAGACAGCCGCCUAGAACUGUCAGCCUAAACCACAGACAAGGCCUGCUUGCAUCCCCUAGUGGUGCAAAACGGUGCAACACGUAUCGGGGAUCCCAUCACUCGAUCCAGCAGCAGCUUGGUCGCUCUCCAGCCACAGAACACAUAAGGGUACUGGGAAGAGGUGAUGGGGAGGGGAGGAGAGGAGAAUGAGAGCAGAACCCUGCUACUCUUUUUUUUUUUUUUUUUUUUUGGUUUUUCGAGACAGGGUUUCUCUGUAUAGCCCUGGCUGUCCUGGAACUCACUUUGUAGACCAGGCUGGCCUCGAACUCAGAGAUCCACCUGCCUCUGCCUCCCGAGUGCUGGGAUUAAAGGCGUGCGCCACCACGCUCACAUUUUUAAAGCGAUUUCCGAUGAUCAACCUCGGAGGUCCUGUGCUACAAAGCAAGCUCUUUACCGAUUAAGCAACCUCCGCGGCCCUAAACAAUGUGUUUUAACACACCACGUUAUAUAUUUCAAACGUGUGCAAUUUUUGUCACUUACACCUAAAUAAAUAAAGCUGGGGAAAUUAAAAUCUAAUGAGGGCCGGGCAUGGUGGUGCAGGUCUUUAUUUCCAGCACUCCGUAGGCCUAGGCAGAUAGAUCUGGGUUCGAGGCCAGCCUAGUCAACAGAUCGAGCUCCAGGAAAGUCAGGGCUACACAGAGAAAACCUGUCCUGAAAUGAAUGAAUAAAUCUACUAAGUAAGCUUAGUUGAGCCGAGAAAAUUAAAAUGAAAAAUACUAUAGUAGGCGCUUCAAGUUGCGAAGGCUUGACGAUUGUACGCUUUUCUAGAUUUGAUAACCGACAUUUCUGACCAAAACAAACAAACAGCGACUUUAAAAGGUUUUCGUGGGCUUACCGUUUGAGGAAGAGACAUGGCGAAACCGGUCUGCGACGCCGGACU
rnacentral:lncRNA from 1 species